AUGAGGAUCUAUGGGGUCUCUAUGGGGAUCUAUGCGGUCUCUAUGGGGUCUCAAUGGGGUUCUAUGGGUCUUCAUGGGGUUCUAUGGGUCUCUAUGGGGAUCUAUGGGGUCUCUAUGGGGUCCCUAUGGGCUCUAUGGAAUCUCUAUGGGAUUCUGUGGGGUCUCUAUGGGGUUCUAUGGAGUCUCUAUGGUUCUCCAUGGGGAUCUAUGGGGUCUCUAUGGGGAUCUAUGGGAUCCCAGUGGGGUUCUAUGGGUCUCUGUGGGGUUCCAUGUGGUCUCUAUGGGGUUUUACAGGGUCCCUAUGGGGUUCUAUGGGGUCUCAAUGGGGGUUUAUGGGGUCUCUGGUUCUCCAUGGGGAUCUAUGGGGUCUCUAUGGGGUCCCUAUGGGGUCUCUAUGGUUCUCCAUGGUUCUCCAUGGAUCUGUUGGGUCUCUAUGGAGUCUCUCUAUGGAAUCUCAUGGGAUUCUGCGUUGGGGGUCCCUACUGGGCUCUAUGGAGUCUCUAUG
rnacentral:lncRNA from 1 species